rnacentral:piRNA from 1 species
UUGUGCCUUGAUUUGAUGAUU